rnacentral:rRNA from 1 species
ACGAAAAUACCAAGCUUGCUUGGUUGAUUAGUGGCGAACGGGUGAGUAACACGUGAGUAACCUGCCCCUUACUUUCCUGGAUAACUGCUCGAAAGGGUAGCUAAUACGGGAUAUUCUGACCAUCCUGCAUGGGUUGGUUUGGAAAGGUUGUUUUUCUGGUAAGGGAUGGGCUCGCGGCCUAUCAGCUUGUUGGUGGGGUGAUGGCCUACCAAGGCUUUGACGGGUAGCCGGCCUGAGAGGGUGGACGGUCACACUGGGACUGAGAUACGGCCCAGACUCCUACGGGAGGCAGCAGUGGGGAAUAUUGCACAAUGGGCGCAAGCCUGAUGCAGCGACGCCGCGUGAGGGAUGAAAGCCUUCGGGUUGUAAACCUCUUUCGUCAGGGAACAAGGCACCGUCUUUUGGUGGUGUUGAGGGUACCUGGAUAAGAAGCGCCGGCUAACUACGUGCCAGCAGCCGCGGUAAUACGUAGGGCGCAAGCGUUGUCCGGAAUUAUUGGGCGUAAAGAGCUCGUAGGCGGCUGGUCGCGUCUGUCGUGAAAACUUCCGGCUCAACCGGGGGCUUGCGGUGGGUACGGGCCGGCUAGAGUGCGGUAGGGGUAACUGGAACUCCUGGUGUAGCGGUGGAAUGCGCAGAUAUCAGGAAGAACACCGAUGGCGAAGGCAGGUUACUGGGCCGUUACUGACGCUGAGGAGCGAAAGCGUGGGGAGCGAACAGGAUUAGAUACCUGGUAGUCCACGCUGUAAACGUUGGGCACUAGGUGUGAGGCUCCUUU